UACAGAGGUCUCAAGCGUUGUUCGGAUUCAUUGGGCGUAAAGGGUGCGUAGGUGGCGCGUAAGUCAGGUGUGAAAUUUCGGAGCUUAACUCCGAAACUGCAUUUGAUACUGGCGUGCUUGAGGACUGGAGAGGAGACUGGAAUUCAUGGUGUAGCAGUGAAAUGCGUAGAGAUCAUGAGGAAGACCAGUGGCGAAAGGCGGGUCUCU
rnacentral:rRNA from 1 species